rnacentral:rRNA from 1 species
AUAACAAUACAGGACUCUUUCAAGGCCCUGUAAUUGGAAUGAGUACACUUUAAAUCCUUUAACGAAGAUGUAUUGGAGGGCAAGUCUGGUGCAGAGCGACUGACCCGUGCGUGCUGCAGCUGAAA